CAUUCAUAGCGAAUGCAGAUACCACCGUGCUAGCUAGAUGAGGCGUGCCCACAACUUGGAUGCUGGCGACCAGCACUCAGUGGUACAGAAUCUGAUUCCACUGGCAUGUGCUUCCAAACCUUAGCUCUGCACAAGGUGAAGGUGAUCUGGAGACCUUCCACAGUGCCCUGCUGAAAAAUACCCCAUAACGGUGGGGUCUUUGUUCGAAACAUCGUCAUCUAUUUGUUCGAAACAUCGUCAUCUCCUGGCAGCAUUUACCCUCCAGCUUCACAAGCUUGAAAACCACAUUCAGAAAAACUUUAACAGAAUUCAUUUUUUUCCCUAUUUUUUUUUCGUUUUGGAGUCAGAGUUUCAGUAUAGUUUGUUUUUCAAAACAAGUGUGUUAAUUAUUUUAUUUCAGUUUUCAAAAUAGUUUUUUCAUGAUUUGUUUUCUUUUUAGUUUCAAUUUCGGUUUACUAAUAACCUUGACAUACAUAUUACCCUAACCAUAAAUGGACCUCUUCAAUUUGGUGCCAAAAUAAAAACACUAUUACGUUAUCUCCUUCUUAUGUCCAGAGGGCUUGUGAAACUUAGAGACUACUGAAUCCCACCUUUCUUCCUCUGGCUAGUGUAGUUUUAGGCUACCCUUGAAAAAGCAACUGAUUGUGUCUCCCUUCCCUUUCUCUCAUACCCCAUUUGUCAGUUGGGCAAUUUCUGUGCCUCAGUCAAGCAGCAGGGGACGUAUGGAUAGAAGCGAUGGAACCUUGGGUGUCAAACCCUGUUUACAACAGGGCUUGCUGUGUUUAGUCUCUUCAUUCCAGAAUGCCUUCCAUCAUUCUUUGGAAUUUACUGUACUUUUUCAAAGUUGUUAAAGUAUAUUUUAUGCUCCCAUUUGCAAUACUAUGUAAAAGUUCUGAGUGAGUCCCUAAUAUAUUCAGUCAUUGGUAAGCCUGCAAUCCGGUUUCUCUUUAUUUGCUUGAAAUUGAUAGUGAUGUUAUUGCCGCUACACAUACCUAGACAUAAUGUACUGAUCUUCAACAUCUCAUAUUAUUUCUGCUUCUUAUCUUGUGACAUGUUAUUAAAAAAUGGCUCAUGAUUGUUUAA